GACGAACGCUGGCGGCGUGCCUAAUACAUGCAAGUAGAACGCUGAAGCGAGGAGCUUGCUCUUCUUGGAUGAGUUGCGAACGGGUGAGUAACGCGUAGGUAACCUGCCUUGUAGCGGGGGAUAACUAUUGGAAACGAUAGCUAAUACCGCAUAACAAUAGGUGACACAUGUCAUUUAUUUGAAAGGGGCAAUUGCUCCACUACAAGAUGGACCUGCGUUGUAUUAGCUAGUAGGUGAGGUAACGGCUCACCUAGGCGACGAUACAUAGCCGACCUGAGAGGGUGAUCGGCCACACUGGGACUGAGACACGGCCCAGACUCCUACGGGAGGCAGCAGUAGGGAAUCUUCGGCAAUGGGGGCAACCCUGACCGAGAAACGCCGCGUGAGUGAAGAAGGUUUUCGGAUCGUAAAGCUCUGUUGUAAGUCAAGAACGAGUGUGAGAGUGGAAAGUUCACACUGUGACGGUAGCUUACCAGAAAGAGACGGCUAACUACGUG
rnacentral:rRNA from 1 species